GACGAACGCUGGCGGCGUGCUUAACACAUGCAAGUCGAACGGAAAGGCCCUGCUUUUGUGGGGUGCUCGAGUGGCGAACGGGUGAGUAACACGUGAGUAACCUGCCCUUGUCUUUGGGAUAACUUCAGGAAACUGGGGCUAAUACCGGAUAGGAGCUCCUGCUGCAUGGUGGGGGUUGGAAAGUUUCGGCGGUUGGGGAUGGACUGGCGGCUUAUCAGCUUGUUGGUGGGGUAGUGGCUUACCAAGGUUUUGACGGGUAGCCGGCCUGAGAGCGUGACCGGCCACCUUGGGCCUGAGAUACGGACCAGACUCGUACGGGAGGCAGCAGUGGGGAAUAUUGCACAGUGGGCGGACGCCUGAUGCAGAAACGCCGCGUGCGGGAUGCCGGCCUUCGGGUUGUAAACCGCUUUCGACUGUGACGAAGCGUGAGUGACGGUAAUGGGUAAAGAAGCCCCGGCUAACUACGUG
rnacentral:rRNA from 1 species